AUGAACGCUAGCUACAGGCUUAACACAUGCAAGUCGAGGGGCAGCAUGGUCUUAGCUUGCUAAGGCCGAUGGCGACCGGCGCACGGGUGAGUAACACGUAUCCAACCUGCCGUCUACUCUUGGACAGCCUUCUGAAAGGAAGAUUAAUACAAGAUGGCAUCAUGAGUCCACAUGUUCACAUGAUUAAAGGUAUUCCGGUAGACGAUGGGGAUGCGUUCCAUUAGAUAGUAGGCGGGGUAACAGCCCACCUAGUCUUCGAUGGAUAGGGGUUCUGAGAGGAAGGUCCCCCACAUUGGAACUGAGACACGGUCCAAACUCCUACGGGAGGCAGCAGUGAGGAAUAUUGGUCAAUGGGCGAGAGCCUGAACCAGCCAAGUAGCGUGAAGGAUGACUGCCCUAUGGGUUGUAAACUUCUUUUAUAAAGGAAUAAAGUCGGGUAUGGAUACCCGUUUGCAUGUACUUUAUGAAUAAGGAUCGGCUAACUCCGUGCCAGCAGCCGCGGUAAUACGGAGGAUCCGAGCGUUAUCCGGAUUUAUUGGGUUUAAAGGGAGCGUAGAUGGAUGUUUAAGUCAGUUGUGAAAGUUUGCGGCUCAACCGUAAAAUUGCAGUUGAUACUGGAUAUCUUGAGUGCAGUUGAGGCAGGCGGAAUUCGUGGUGUAGCGGUGAAAUGCUUAGAUAUCACGAAGAACUCCGAUUGCGAAGGCAGCCUGCUAAGCUGCAACUGACAUUGAGGCUCGAAAGUGUGGGUAUCAAACAGGAUUAGAUACCCUGGUAGUCCACACGGUAAACGAUGAAUACUCGCUGUUUGCGAUAUACGGCAAGCGGCCAAGCGAAAGCGUUAAGUAUUCCACCUGGGGAGUACGCCGGCAACGGUGAAACUCAAAGGAAUUGACGGGGGCCCGCACAAGCGGAGGAACAUGUGGUUUAAUUCGAUGAUACGCGAGGAACCUUACCCGGGCUUAAAUUGCAGAUGAAUUACGGUGAAAGCCGUAAGCCGCAAGGCAUCUGUGAAGGUGCUGCAUGGUUGUCGUCAGCUCGUGCCGUGAGGUGUCGGCUUAAGUGCCAUAACGAGCGCAACCCUUGUUGUCAGUUACUAACAGGUUCCGCUGAGGACUCUGACAAGACUGCCAUCGUAAGAUGUGAGGAAGGUGGGGAUGACGUCAAAUCAGCACGGCCCUUACGUCCGGGGCUACACACGUGUUACAAUGGGGGGUACAGAGGGCCGCUACCACGCGAGUGGAUGCCAAUCCCAAAAACCUCUCUCAGUUCGGACUGGAGUCUGCAACCCGACUCCACGAAGCUGGAUUCGCUAGUAAUCGCGCAUCAGCCACGGCGCGGUGAAUACGUUCCCGGGCCUUGUACACACCGCCCGUCAAGCCAUGGGAGCCGGGGGUACCUGAAGUGCGUAACCGCGAGGAGCGCCCUAGGGUAAAACUGGUGACUGGGGCUAAGUC
rnacentral:rRNA from 1 species